GUUCCUGUAGUUGAAGAACAACGGUGGUUUUUCAAGCCACUGGUCUUGGUUGAAGUCCUAGCAGGAACU
rnacentral:tRNA from 2 species